AAGGGCUUAGCUUAAGAAAAGUAGUUGAUUUGCAUUCAGCUGAUGUAGGAUAGGGUCCUGCAGUCCUUA
rnacentral:tRNA from 1 species